rnacentral:rRNA from 1 species
AUGACAGAUAAUAUAAAGAAGCUUUGGAGGGAGUCGAGUGUAGACAGGGCCCAACCAUUCUCGCUGAUGCAUAUUGAUGGUUUCUCUUGCAAGUUUGUGCGGACCUAUCAUUGCUGGGAGGAUGGUGUAAUUGAAAUGGUCGAUUACAGCCAUGAAGACAUUCUUGACAUUAGGAAGACUUUGCUGUAUACCUGCGCAACUAACGAUGUGUUUGAUGUCUACUUCUGGGGUGAGUGGCUGGAUCUUGGUGAGCAUGACUACAGGUUCUUUGGCAGCCAGUUCUCGGAGCUCGAGCGCGUAGCUAUUAAUCUUAGCCAGGGGCGUUCUCCCAAAAAGACAAGAUCUGGUGUUAUGAGGGGCGGUUGGGAGCUCUGA